rnacentral:rRNA from 1 species
GACGUAGGGCGCGAGCGUUGUCCGGAUUUAUUGGGCGUAAAGAGCUCGUAGGCGGCUUGUCACGUCGACCGUGAAAACUCGCAGCUCAACUGCGAGCCUGCGAUCGAUACGGGCAGGCUAGAGUUCGGUAGGGGGGACUGGAAUUCCUGGUGUAGCGGUGAAAUGCGCAGAUAUCAGGAGGAACACCGAUGGCGAAGGCAGGUCUCUGGGCCGAUACUGACGCUGAGGAGCGAAAGCGUGGGGAGCGAACAGG